rnacentral:misc_RNA from 1 species
AAGUCGUAACAAGGUCUCCGUAGGUGAACCUGCGGAGGGAUCAUUAACACGUUUAUUUCACUAUAAACGUAUCUAUACCAAACAAAUAGAAACUGGAGUAGAAAGUAUAUAUAUAUGUCAUGCGUAUAUAUAUAUUGAUACUUCGUCCCCUCUCCCUAUGUAGUGAUUGUUUACUAUGUAGGCUAUUUCUGUCUAUAAACCCAUUUCCAACUUUCGUUUGUAACUUGACUUAUAUGUGAGUAUACUGUUCGUAUACUACUACAUUGAUAUACUAAUGUUAAAAGCACAACUCUUAGCAACGGAUAUCUUGGUUCUG